UAUUCUCUUAAACAUGUGGAGAAUAUCAAGGUCUAUGGUCCGAUUUGAUAGUCUUUAAAAUUUCUUAUUUCGAUUAAAGAGUCUGGAUAUCAAACUUCUCCAAGAUUAAUUUUUAGUGCCACGCUAGAUAUUUGAUAUUUCUAUAACAAAUAUUGAACUAAUCAAUUUCGAUUAUUUGGAUGAAACCGAGAUUGUACCUUAAUACAUGGAAACCAGCUAUAAAGAAGCAAUGGAAACGAAUUUAUUUCGAACAGAAUGAUAAAAUAUAACAGGGCCUUCCGGCGUCCCCAGCGUUUACAACAGCGAGUUAUCCAACAGUUGAACAGAAAUCUUAUUUACAUUAAUAAUUUAUUUGAAAGAUUUAAGAUCUAAGUAACAAACUUAAGGAAGUCCUCGAAGAAAUGGCAUACUCAAAAAUGAUUAUAUAGAAACAAGUUCUCGAAUCCACAAUCAUCUUGCUUGAUAAACUGCUUGAUGUUGAUAAUCGCCAUGGCGGAAUUGCUUGCAAUAUUCCACUCUUUCAGAAAUCAAGAUUAUUGUACUCACUUUCUAGAUUCUGCCAGAAAUUAUUUUAUUGAAAUGCUGCAAGAAUAGAAAUCUAGAUACAUCGUAUGAAUUCUUCGUUUCCUACUUUUUAACAAAAAUAAAUGUUAUGCCAAAGAAAUCGUGGGCACGGUUUUGCCCUAUGAUGAGCGAUAAACAGGGAAUGACCGAGAUAGAUGCGUAGAACUUGACUUGGGAAAAUUCUUGAGCCUCUUUGAUCUUAUCAGAAUUACGGACAUAAAAACCCAAAUCGCAGCUGAAGAAUAUCAAGCAGCUGGAGUUGCAGUUGGUGUGAGUGGAAUUUUUCUGUUCAGCUGGAUGCGAUAUCGUAUCUGUGGAACUGAGUACAGAUUUAUCUUCACUAAAACCUGAAUAGAAAUGUCUCCAAUAUUGUCAACUGUUACUUUCUUAAUUGGAUUUUCUCAAGAAAUUAAUAUAUCCUUGUGAAGA